GUUGAGCGGGCACCUGCGUUAGACGUGUUUACAUCGAUUAUCCGUGUUGAAUACAGUAUCACGGCGAUGGAAGAUAAUUUCUUGUCAUAGUGAAAGCAAGGAGUAAUUGUUGCUAAACAAAACUUGUGCGAAAUUGUACAGGGGGCACUUUUAAAGUUUUUAGAUCAAAAUAUGCUUUUCUUGUAAGAUGUCCCAGUACCGCAUGGACAAAAUCGGCGCUGCUCUACCGAAACAUUUGGCUGUUCAAGGCAACUCGUGAAAGGUUGAAGGGACAAAUGUGUUCACAAAGUUGACAGAAGAAAAAUCCCAAUGAAGGACUCGCAGAAACUACACAUCAAUUUGUGAACAAUAAGCAAGGAUCAUAGAAUUUCAAGACAAUUUCAAAUGCUACUGAGAGUGACUAUUAUAUAAGGACAGAUUUAAAUGAAAUCGAUUUCUUCUAGUGUUAGUCAAACGUAUAAACUAACUUAUCAAUGGAUAUAUUAAUGUUUUCCAUCUUGUGAAUUUCCAAAAAUUAUGAAGAGUAAUUAAAAAAUAAUUACAGGUAAUUAUAGACAUCAGGAAGGAAGUGCAGGUGUUUGAAUAGCUGGCAAGAAUUGUGUAAGAUUUAGUUUUGAUUAAAAGUUUCUUUCAUUGAUCAGUUGAAUAAAAACCUUCAA